GUUGAAGAACGUAGCGAAAUGCGAUAAGUAAUGUGAAUUGCAGAAUUCAGUGAAUCAUCGAAUCUUUGAACGCACCUUGCACCCUUUGGCAUUCCGAAGGGUAUGCUCGUUUGAGUGUCAUUGUACUCUCACACUUCUGAUCCUUUGGAUUGGGAGCGGUGGACUUGGGUGUUGCUGCUUUACUGUGGCUCACCUCAAAUGCAUUCGUGCAACUCUUGGUUGGACAUAGUACGGCGUGAUAAGUAUCUUCGCCGGCACCUCGCAAGAGGGUGGCUGAUCAGGAGCUCUGUGCUUUCCAACUGUCUUCAGACAACAACUGACAACUUGACCUCAAAUCGAGUAGGACCACCCGCUGAACUUAAGCAUAUCAAUAAGCGGAGGA
rnacentral:misc_RNA from 1 species